CGGUUUGUCUUCAUGGAUCUGCUACAGAGAGAUCUUGAUGAAUGCAAGGACAGGUGGAAUAAACAUACCAUAAGACCUGUUAAACAAUCUUGCUGUCCAUCUGGUAAACCAGAUGUGAUGUAUCAUCUACCUCACAGGUAACAGACUGUGGUUGCCCAGUCUCCCAGGAGCAAUUGGGACAGUUUGUGACAGAGACUAACAACAUUCAAUGUGGAGAUGAACACCUUCAGACACAUUUUGAGAACCUCCAGAGACAGUGUGGCCUAGCACAUCCACAGAGUUGGGAAUCAUGUGUCGAAAACUAUAUCAAACUGAAAAACAUAGUGGACUUAUAAACAAACAAGAAUCCAAAUUUGAAGGUCGCACACAAACACUAAACAGUGUCAUAACUGAACAGGUUUGACAAGUUAAAUAGUUAGCAUUUUGUUUUGUUGUUAUGCAUUUGAUCUUAAUAAAGCCCAAACCCAGGGGAGUUUUGAA